rnacentral:rRNA from 1 species
GAUGAACGCUGGCGGCGUGCCUGUACAUGCAAGUCGAGCGAACGGACGAGAAGCUUGCUUCUCUGAUGUUAGCGGCGGACGGGUGAGUAACACGUGGAUAACCUACCUAUAAGACUGGGAUAACUUCGGGAAACCGGAGCUAAUACCGGAUGAUAUUUUGAACCGCAUGGUUCAAAAGUGAAAGACGGUCUUGCUGUCACUUAUAGAUGGAUCCGCGCUGCAUUAGCUAGUUGGUAAGGUAACGGCUUACCAAGGCAACGAUGCAUAGCCGACCUGAGAGGGUGAUCGGCCACACUGGAACUGAGACACGGUCCAGACUCCUACGGGAGGCAGCAGUAGGGAAUCUUCCGCAAUGGGCGAAAGCCUGACGGAGCAACGCCGCGUGAGUGAUGAAGGUCUUCGGAUCGUAAAACUCUGUUAUUAGGGAAGAACAUAUGUGUAAGUAACUGUGCACAUCUUGACGGUACCUAAUCAGAAAGCCACGGCUAACUACGUG